GAAAGGGUUCAUCUAGUUCAAGCUGUAGUGCUCUUUGUCAUUCUCAGUCCAGUACAAUGUUCCUGCAUGCUGGAAUACUGCUAACAGCCUUUGCAGGCUGCAUCUCUGCAAAUGCAAUCACUUCAAACAGUGCUGUGGUCAAAACAGUGGAGGACUUUACCAUAAGCCUCUCCUGUAACUACUCCUCGAGUAACUAUCCACAGUGGUAUCGGCAGUAUCCAAGAUCAGAACCCCAGUUUCUCAUGAGUGUGUAUAGCUCUACUGAAGCUCAGAAAUCAAGCUCUGAUCCUCGCCUGUCCGGGAUACUGAACAAAGAGAAAACUCAAAUCUUCCUGAACAUCAACUCUGCUAAACUCUCAGACUCUGCAGUGUACUACUGUGCCAUGGAGCCCACAGUGAAACAAACAGACUCACUGUCAUACAAGAACCACUGACUCACAGAGUAAGACAAGCUACU